GCCUGGAACACAAUGAUUGAGGAAAUGUGUGGUACAAGUCAGAAAGGGAAGCAGGGGUCAGAUCACAUGGGGCCAUAUAGAGUGGGGAAGGGAGUUUGGACUUUAUUCUAAAUCCAAUGGGAACCUGCUAAAGAAUUUUAAGAAGAAGAACAACCCGCAGGCCCUGCACGGCUAACUGACCAGCGCACGCCAACACUGCCCCCAACUUUGUGUAACUGACGGUCUUGCGGCUUCAUCCAGGAACUAAGAGUCAGCCUCUGUCCAGUUCAGACGGGACAAGACCGCCAACCCACCAACUGUGCCUGCUCAGGUGUCCAGUAGGUGAACUCCUGACUUUAGGGAACUAAACAUUCCACCCUCGGAUCAUGCUAAUGCCACCAUUUUGUGACCAUGCAUCCUGUGAAGAGCCAUGAAGCCUGGCUACACUUGUGCAGAUCAACAAUUACCUCACUCCUCCUUGCCUCGAACCAUCUGUCACCAUACUUUAGACCACUUUGCCAGAUUAUCCCAUAAAUAUCCCUAAUCCCCAUGUUUUGGAGAAGCAGAUUUGGGAUUUGUUCUCCUGCCUCCUCACUUGGCUGCCUUGUGAAUAAACCUUUUGUCUGCAGCAAACUUGUCUUGGUGAUUGGCUUUUUGUGGGAUGGGUAAAAUUAACCUGGUUUGGUAACAUAGUCACCAGGCUAGACCAAAAAUGUGGACCUGCC
rnacentral:lncRNA from 1 species